UCCUUCUUCGAGCCUAAUCCAUCGAGCAGCAUCAAUUAGAACCGCCGCCCUCAAUCCCUGACUCCCUCGACUCUUCCCCAUCAACUCAAGCCCUAAAAUUUCAGAUCUGGAAUUUGGGAAUUUUGGGAGAAUUCUUUUGGUAUGCAACUUUUCGUCUGGGGAAUUUUGCUGUUGGUAGAUGAUUAUGCAUACCUAGAUGAAGAUUGGCGGUGCUGCGGCGGUGGAGCGGUAGAUUCGGCUCUAAUUCGUGAAGAAAUUUGGAAACACAAGAUCUAGUCUUUAGCUCUAAUCUGCAUUCUUAUUUUAUUUUUUUCCGUCAAAUUGAAUGUAUUUUUUUUUUGGAAUUUUGGGGAUAUUCAUGCAUCUAGUAAAUCUGAAUAUAUCUGUUCAUUUAGAAAUUGUGAUCUGUUCGUUUAUAAAUUGUGAUAUGUUCAUUUAUAAAUUGUGAUUUUUCG
rnacentral:lncRNA from 1 species